rnacentral:rRNA from 1 species
GAUGAACGCUAGCUACAGGCUUAACACAUGCAAGUCGAGGGGCAGCAUGAUGUAGCAAUACAUUGAUGGCGACCGGCGCAAGGGUGCGUAACGCGUGAGUAACAUGCCCGUAUCAGGGGGAUAACCCGAAGAAAUUCGGACUAAUACCCCAUAGUAAUUUGUGGAGGCAUCUCUAUAAAUUUAAAGCUCCGGCGGAUACGGAUUGACUCGCGUGACAUUAGCUAGAUGGCGGGGUAACGGCCCACCAUGGCGACGAUGUCUAGGGGUUCUGAGAGGAAGGUCCCCCANACUGGAACUGAGACACGGUCCAGACUCCUACGGGAGGCAGCAGUGAGGAAUAUUGGUCAAUGGUCUGACGACUGAACCAGCCAUGCCGCGUGAAGGUGACGGCCCUAUGGGGUCUUAAAACUUCUUUUGUAAGGGAGCAAUAAGCGCCACGUGUGGCGUGAUGAGGGUACCUUACGAAUAAGCAUCGGCUAACUCCGUGCCAG